UCGAGGGGCAGCACAAGGUAGCAAUAUCUGGUGGCGACCGGUGCACGGGUGAGUAACACGUAUGCAACCUACCUGUAAGCGGGGAAUAACCCGGAGAAAUCCGGACUAAUACCGCAUAACACUGUGAUUUCGCAUGAGAUUACAGUUAAAUAUUUAUAGCUUACAGAUGGGCAUGCGUAUGAUUAGCUAGUUGGUGAGGUAACGGCCCACCAAGGCAUCGAUCAUUAGGGGUUCUGAGAGGAAGGUCCCCCACACUGGUACUGAGAUACGGACCAGACUCCUACGGGAGGCAGCAGUGAGGAAUAUUGGUCAAUGGGCGAGAGCCUGAACCAGCCAAGUCGCGUGAAGGAAGAAGGUUCUAUGGAUUGUAAACUUCUUUUGUAAGGGAAUAAAGUGCGCUACGUGUAGCGUUUUGUAUGUACUUUACGAAUAAGGAUCGGCUAACUCCGUGCCAGCAGCCGCGGUAAUACGGAGGAUCCAAGCGUUAUCCGGAUUUAUUGGGUUUAAAGGGUGCGUAGGCGGACCUGAAAGUCAGUGGUGAAAGUUUGCAGCUUAACUGUAAAAUUGCCAUUGAAACUCUGGGUCUUGAGUGUAAAUGAGGUAGGCGGAAUGUGUUGUGUAGCGGUGAAAUGCUUAGAUAUAACACAGAACACCAAUUGCGAAGGCAGCUUACUAGGAUACAACUGACGCUGAGGCACGAAAGCGUGGGGAUCAAACAGGAUUAGAUACCCUGGUAGUCCACGCAGUAAACGAUGAAUACUAACUGUAUGCGAUAUACUGUAUGUGGUAAAGCGAAAGCGUUAAGUAUUCCACCUGGGGAGUACGUUC
rnacentral:rRNA from 1 species